GACGAACGCUGGCGGCGUGCUUAACACAUGCAAGUCGAACGGAAAGGCCCUGCUUGCAGGGUACUCGAGUGGCGAACGGGUGAGUAACACGUGGGUGUUCUGCCCUGCACUUCGGGAUAAGCCUGGGAAACUGGGUCUAAUACCGGAUAGGAGCCAUUUUUAGUGUGAUGGUUGGAAAGUUUUUUCGGUGUAGGAUGAGCUCGCGGCCUAUCAGCUUGUUGGUGGGGUAAUGGCCUACCAAGGCGGCGACGGGUAGCCGGCCUGAGAGGGUGGACGGCCACAUUGGGACUGAGAUACGGCCCAGACUCCUACGGGAGGCAGCAGUGGGGAAGAUUGCACAAUGGGCGCAAGCCUGAUGCGGCGACGCCGCGUGGGGGAUGACGGCCUUCGGGUUGUAAACUCCUUUCGCUAGGGACGAAGCUUUUUGUGACGGUACCUAGAUAAGAAGCACCGGCUAACUACGUG
rnacentral:rRNA from 1 species